UACAGGGGGUGCAAACGUUGCUCGGAAUCAUUGGGCGUAAAGCGCACGUAGGCGGUUCGUUAUGUCGGAUGUGAAAGCCCUUGGCUUAACCGAGGAAGUGCAUCCGAAACUGGCGAGCUAGAGUACGAAAGAGGAUCGCGGAAUUCCCGGUGUAGAGGUGAAGCUCGUAGAUAUCGGGAGGAACACCGGUGGCGAAGGCGGCGAUCUGGGUCGAUACUGACGCUGAGGUGCGAAAGCGUGGGGAGCAAACAGG
rnacentral:rRNA from 1 species